UACGAAGGGGGCUAGCGUUGUUCGGAAUCACUGGGCGUAAAGGGCGCGUAGGCGGCUUGAUAAGUCGGGGGUGAAAGCCUGUGGCUCAACCACAGAAUUGCCUUCGAUACUGUCGAGCUUGAGACCGGAAGAGGUAAGUGGAACUGCGAGUGUAGAGGUGAAAUUCGUAGAUAUUCGCAAGAGCACCAGUGGCGAAGGCGGCGACCUGGGUAGAUACUGACGCUGAGGUGCGAAAGCGUGGGGAGCAAACAGG
rnacentral:rRNA from 1 species